GGGCCCAUAGCUCAGUUGGUAGAGCGCUUGCAUGGCAUGCAAUAGGUCGUCGGUUCGAUCCCGAUUGGGUCCA
rnacentral:tRNA from 1 species